rnacentral:rRNA from 1 species
UUCUGGUUGAUCCUGCCGGAGGCUACCGCUAUUGGAGUUCGAUUAAGCCAUGCGAGUCGAGAGUCUUAGGGACUCGGCGUACCGCUCAGUAACACGUGGGUAACCUGCCCUAUGCUGGGGAAUAACCUCGGGAAACUGAGAAUAAUACCCCAUAGUUCACCACGCCUGGAACGGUGGGUGGAUGAAAGCUCCGGCGGCAUAGGAUGGGCCUGCGACGUAUCAGGUUGUAGGGGGUGUAACGUACCCUCUAGCCAUCAACGCGUACGGGUGUUGGGAGACAUAGCCCGGAGAUGGAUUCUGAGACACGAAUCCAGACCCUACGGGGUGCAGCAGGCGCGAAAACUUGGCAAUGCGAGCAAUCGUGACCAGGGAACUCCAAGUGGCUGGGGUAAUACCCAGUUUUUUCUUGACUCUUCAAAGGUCUUGGAAUAAGGGGUGGGUAAGGACGGUGCCAGCCGCCGCGGUAAUACCGGCGCCUCAAGUGGUAGUCGCUUUUAUUGGGCCUAAAACGUCCGUAGCCGGUCUGGUGCAUUCGUGGGUAAAUCAACCCGCUCAACGGGUUGAAUUCUGCGAGCACGGCCAGACUUGGGACCGGGAGAGGUGUGGGGUACUCUCAGGGUAGGGGUAAAAUCCUGUCAUCCUGAGAGGACCACCUGUUGCGAAGGCGCCACACUAGAACGGAUUCGACGGUCAGGGACGAAACCUAGGGGCACGAACCGGAUUAGAUACCCGGGUAGUCCUAGGUGUAAACGCUGUGGACUUGAUGUUGGGGGUGCUCCGAGCACUCUCAGUGUCGAAGCGAAGGUGAUAAGUCCACUGCCUGGGGAGUACGGUCGCAAGGCUGAAACUUAAAGGAAUUGGCGGGGGAGCACUGCAACCUGAGGAUUGUGCGGUUUAAUUGGAUUCAACGCCGGGA